UACCCUGUGAAGAAGAAUUCCCGUGCAAUAGGAAGUGCCGUAUGACACUCCAAACAGCGGCGGCGCACGGCGGCCCCCCUUCCCAUCCGCCGUAUUGGCCGGGCACUGGUGGAUCCGCUGCUCCCCGCUGUGCGUGUGAUUUGAAACGGGUCUCUGAGGGUC